AUGCUCUGGGCUCCCCUCAUUGUCCUGCUGGGGACGUGCUGCACAGGUUCCAGCUCCCAGAAUGUGGUGACUCAGCCGCCCUCAGCAUCAGUGUCCCCAGGAAAUACCGUGAAACUCUCCUGCACCAUGAGCAGUGGGACCAGCAUCAGUGGCUACAACGUGUACUGGUACCAACAGAAACCAGGGAAUUCCCCUCGAUACCUGCUGAGAUACAAGUCAGAUUCUGACAAACACCAGGGCUCCGGGGUCCCUGCCCGGUUUUCUGGUUCCAAGGACACAUCCAGCAACACCGGCUAUUUGACCAUUUCUGGGGCCCUGGCGGAGGAUGAGGCUGACUAUUACUGUGCUGUGUGGCACAACGAUGCUUGUCACAGUGACACAGUCAGAUGGGGAAGUUCGUUUGCCCAGUACGUGCUGACCCAGCCACCGUCAGUGUCUGUGUCUCCAGGACAAUAA